rnacentral:rRNA from 1 species
CCUACGGGAGGCAGCAGUGGGGAAUAUUGCACAAUGGGGGAAACCCUGAUGCAGCGACGCCGCGUGAGUGAAGAAGUAUUUCGGUAUGUAAAGCUCUAUCAGCAGGGAAGAAAAUGACGGUACCUGACCAAGAAGCCCCGGCUAACUACGUGCCAGCAGCCGCGGUAAUACGUAGGGGGCAAGCGUUAUCCGGAUUUACUGGGUGUAAAGGGAGCGUAGACGGCUGAGCAAGUCAGAAGUGAAAGCCCGGGGCUCAACCCCGGGACUGCUUUUGAAACUGCAUGGCUGGAGUGCAGGAGAGGUAGGCGGAAUUCCUGGUGUAGCGGUGAAAUGCGUAGAUAUCAGGAGGAACACCAGUGGCGAAGGCGGCUUACUGGACUGUAACUGACGUUGAGGCUCGAAAGCGUGGGGAGCAAACAGGAUUAGAUACCCGAGUAGUC